rnacentral:rRNA from 1 species
GCACGAGGGGGCAACCCCUAGUGGCGGACGGGUGAGUAACGUGUAGGUAUCUAUCCACGGGUGGGGGAUAACAGCGGGAAACUGCUGCUAAUACCGCAUGAAACCUGAGGGUCAAAGGCGCGAGUCGCCUGUGGAGGAGCCUUCGUCCGAUUAGCUAGUUGGUGGGGUAAAGGCCUACCAAGGCGACGAUCGGUAGCUGGUCUGAGAGGAUGAUCAGCCACAUUGGGACUGAGACACGGCCCAAACUCCUACGGGAGGCAGCAGUGGGGAAUAUUGGACAAUGGGGGCAACCCUGAUCCAGCAAUGCCGCGUGGAUGAAGAAGGUCUUCGGAUUGUAAAGUCCUUUCGGCGGGGACGAUGAUGACGGUACCCGCAGAAGAAGCCCCGGCUAACUUCGUGCCAGCAGCCGCGGUAAUACGAAGGGGGCUAGCGUUGCUCGGAAUGACUGGGCGUAAAGGGCGCGUAGGCGGUUUGCUUCGUUAGGCGUGAAAUUCCUGGGCUCAACCUGGGGACUGCGCUUAAGACAAGCAGGCUAGAGUGUGAAAGAGGGUCGUGGAAUUCCCAGUGUAGAGGUGAAAUUCGUAGAUAUUGGGAAGAACACCGGUGGCGAAGGCGGCGACCUGGUUCAUGACUGACGCUGAGGCGCGAAAGCGUGGGGAGCAAAACAGGAUUAGAUACCCUGGUAGUCCACGCCGUAAACGAUGUGUGCUGGAUGUUGGGUGAACCUAGUCACUCAGUGUCGCAGCUAAACGCUUUUAAGCCAUUCCGCCUGGG